UCGGGAAUUUUGGGCAAUGGGCGAAAGCCUGACCCAGCAACGCCGCGUGAAGGAUGAAGUAUUUCGGUAUGUAAACUUCGUAAGAAUAGGAAGAAUAAAUGACGGUACUAUUUAUAAGGUCCGGCUAACUACGUGCCAGCAGCCGCGGUAAUACGUAGGGACCAAGCGUUGUUCGGAUUUACUGGGCGUAAAGGGCGCGUAGGCGGCAUGACAAGUCACUUGUGAAAUCUCUGGGCUUAACCCAGAACGGCCAAGUGAUACUGUCGCGCUAGAGUGCAGAAGGGGCAAUCGGAAUUCUUGGUGUAGCGGUGAAAUGCGUAGAUAUCAAGAGGAACACCUGAGGUGAAGACGGGUUGCUGGGCUGACACUGACGCUGAGGCGCGAAAGCUAGGGUAGCAAACGGGAUUAGAUACCCCCGUAGUCCCUGAGCGGGCUGGCAAGGCGCAU
rnacentral:rRNA from 1 species